AUUGAACGCUGGCGGCAGGCCUAACACAUGCAAGUAGAGCGAGCGGCGAACGGGUGAGUAAGGGCUAGGAACCUGCCUUAUGGCCGGGGAUAACCACUGGAAACGGUUGCUAAUACCGGAUACCAUCAGAUAUGCCCAGAUGGGUUUGGCUAGUAGGUGGGUUAACGGCUCACAUAGGCGACGAUCCCUAGCUGGUCUGCGAGGAUGACCAGCCACACUGGAACGGGGACACGGUCCAGACUCCUACGGGAGGCAGCAGUGGGGAGUAUUGGACAAUGGGCGCAAGCCUGAUGCAGCCAUGCCGGGUGUGUGAAGAAGGCCUUCGGGUUGUAAAGCACGUUCAGCGGGGAGGCGUUACCCGCAGAAGAAGCACCGGCUAACUCCGUGCCAGCAGCCGCGGUAAUAC
rnacentral:rRNA from 1 species